rnacentral:tRNA from 1 species
UACCUCAUAGUGUACGAUGCACAAGAGUUUUUGAUACUCUAAGAAAUAGUUUAAUUCUAUUAGAUGUAA